rnacentral:rRNA from 1 species
GUGUCAGCAGCCGCGGUAAAACGUAGGAGACAAGCGUUAUCCGGAGUUACUGGGCGUAAAGGGCGUGCAGGUGGUUGAGUAAGUCUGUUGUGAAAGCGCCUGGCUUAACCGGGCGAGGCCAAUGGAGACUGCUGAACUGGAGGGCGGUAGAGGGGUGUGGAAUUCCGGGUGUAGUGGUGAAAUGCGUAGAGAUCCGGAGGAACACCAGAGGCGAAGGCGGCACCCUAAGCCGUACCUGACACUGAGACGCGACAGCACGGGGAGCAAACGGGAUUAGAUACCCGUGUAGUCC